rnacentral:piRNA from 1 species
UACAAAGUUUAGAUUUUGUAAAUGUGCUUUUC